AUCGCUUCUCGGCCUUUUGGCUAAGAUCAAGUGUAGUAUCUGUUCUUAUCAAUUUAAUAACUUUAUUGUAUAUCUUAAAGUUGCUGAGAAAGUAGAUCUUAAAAGUUUUCAUCACUCACA
rnacentral:snRNA from 1 species